UCAACCCUCCAAGGCUGGCUUGGUGUUGGACCGCCUGGCGGCCCCCUAGUGACCCUAGGUUGCCGCCGGUCCCAAAGACAACGACGCCGUCCGACGGACGCUCAGUGCACCGAGCUUCACUGCGAGCACGCACUGUAGCAGCCGCGGGCGACGUCCCUCCUGUCGUUCUCGACGA
rnacentral:misc_RNA from 1 species